ACACAGGGCAUGCUUAGUACGGCGAGUGAAGCGGCAAAAGCUCAAAUUUGAAAUCGGCCACCAGGUCGAGUUGUAAUUUGUAGAUUGUAUCUUGAGAGCGGAUUAAAGUCUGUUGGAACACAGCGCCUUAGAGGGUGACAGCCCCGUAAAAUCUAUUCUCAUUGUAAGAUACUUUCGAAGAGUCGAGUUGUUUGGGAAUGCAGCUCUAAGUGGGAGGUAAAUUCCUUCUAAAGCUAAAUAUUGACGAGAGACCGAUAGCGAACAAGUACUGUGAAGGAAAGAUGAAAAGCACUUUGAAAAGAGAGUGAAAAAGUACGUGAAAUUGUUAAAAGGGAAGGGUAUUGAAUCAGACUUGGUGCUGUUGUUCAACUGUGUUUCGGCAUAGUGUACUCAGCAGUACUAGGCCAAGGUGGGGUGUUUGGGAGUGAAAAAGAAGUUGGAAGGUAACUCUUCGGAGUGUUAUAGCCUACUUUCAUAGCUCCUCAGGCGCCUCAGGACUGCGCUUCGGCAAGGACCUUGGCAUAAUGAUUCUAUACCGCCCGUCUUGAAACGGGAACCAAA
rnacentral:rRNA from 1 species